UCAAGUGAAUAAGUGCAUACGACGGAUGCCUUGGCAGUAGAAGGCGAUGAAGGACGUGAUAAUCUGCGAUAAGCUUCGGUUAGCUGAUAAUAAGCUCUAACCCGGAGAUCUCCGAAUGGGAAAACCCAGUGAUCAUAAGAUCAUUAUCCUUAACUGAAUACAUAGGUUAAGGAGGCAAACCUAGGGAACUGAAACAUCUAAGUACCUAGAGGAAAAGAAAUCAACCGAGAUUCCCUUAGUAGCGGCGAGCGAACGGGGACCAGCCCUUAAGCAAUUUUUUGAUUAGUAGAAUGUUCUGGAAAGUUCAACGACACAGGGUGAUAGUCCCGUAUACGAAAAUCUUUUAAUUGUGAAAUCGAGUAAGGCGGCGCACGUGAAACGCUGUUUGAAUAUGGGGGGACCACCCUCCAAGGCUAAAUACUCUCUACUGACCGAUAGUGAACAAGUACCGUGAGGGAAAGGCGAAAAGAACCCCGGGAGGGGAGUGAAAUAGAACCUGAAAUCGUAUGCAUACAAGCAGUGGGAGCAGACUUGUUCUGUGACUGCGUACCUUUUGUAUAAUGGGUCAGCGACUUACUUCUCAGUAGCAAGGUUAACCAUUAGGGGAGCCGUAGGGAAACCGAGUCUUAAAUGGGCGUUUAGUUGCUGGGAGUAGACCCGAAACCGGGUGAUCUAUCCAUGGUCAGUGUGAAGGUUAGGUAAAACUAACUGGAGGCGCGAACCCACUUAUGUUGAAAAAUGAGGGGAUGAACUGUGGAUAGGGGUGAAAGGCCAAACAAACCCGGAGAUAGCUGGUUCUCUCCGAAAUCUAUUUAGGUAGAGCGUCAUGUAUUACUUCUGGGGGUAGAGCACUGUUAUGGCUAGCGGGUCGUCAAGACUUAGUAAACCAUUGCAAACUCCGAAUACCAGAAAGUAUGAGCAUGGCAGACACACUGCGGGUGCUAACGUCCGUAGUGGAAAGGGAAACAACCCAGACCGUCAGCUAAGGUCCCAAAAUUAUAGUUAAGUGGGAAACGAUGUGAAAAGGCAUAGACAGCCAGGAGGUUGGCUUAGAAGCAGCCAUUCCUUUAAAGAGUGCGUAAUAGCUCACUGGUCGAGUCGGUUUGCGCGGAAGAUUUAACGGGGCUAAACUAUAUACCGAAGCUGCGGAUCGCAAUUUAUUGCGAUGGUAGGAGAGCGUUCUGUAAGCCGUUGAAGGUGAACUGUGAGGUUUGCUGGAGGUAUCAGAAGUGCGAAUGCUGACAUGAGUAACGAUAAAGGGGGUGAAAAACCCCCUCGCCAGAAGUCCAAGGUUUCCUACGCAACGUUAAUCGGCGUAGGGUUAGUCGGCCCCUAAGGCGAGGCAGAAAUGCGUAGUCGAUGGGAAACGGGUUAAUAUUCCCGUACUUCAUAUAACUGCGAUGGGAAGACGGAGAAGGUUAGCUCAGCAAGGCGAUGGUUGUCCUUGUUCAAGCGUGUAGAAAUGGUUCUUAGGAAAAUCCGGGAACCUCUAUUUCAAGGCGUGAUAACGAUCCCUCUUUUGGGAGAAGUGAGUGAGACCAUGCUUCCAGGAAAAUCCUCUAAGCUUCAGGUUAUAUGAAACCGUACCCCAAACCGACACAGGUGGACGAGAUGAGAAUUCUAAGGCGCUUGAGAGAACUCGGGUGAAGGAACUAGGCAAAAUGACACCGUAACUUCGGGAGAAGGUGUACUCUUGUUAUGUGAUAUCACUUGCUGAUAAAGCAGAAAAGAGUUGAAAAUACUAGGUGGCUGCGACUGUUUAUUAAAAACACAGCACUCUGCAAACACGUAAGUGGACGUAUAGGGUGUGACUCCUGCCCGGUGCUUGAAGGUUAAUUGAUGAGGUUAGCGCUUGCGCGAAGCUUUUGAUCGAAGCCCAAGUAAACGGCGGCCGUAACUAUAACGGUCCUAAGGUAGCGAAAUUCCUUGUCGGGUAAGUUCCGACCUGCACGAAUG
rnacentral:rRNA from 1 species